CUUUGAUCCAGAACAAAAUCGUGCAUAUACCGGAUGGUUAUUUUACUGGAAGCCAAUUGGAAUAUAUAGCACUAAGCCGAAAUCAAAUAAAAUAUGUACCGGGAAAGGCUCUAGCCGGAGUGGACAGUCUGACAUUUCUGAGUGUGGAUGACAAUGCAAUCAAAGGGAUAUCCAAGUCUCACCUGUCUUAUCUAGCUACGUCACAGCUGAAACAUCUAAACCUGAGUAACAACGUUAUAAAUUACAUCGAACCAUUGGCAUUAUCACAGCUCGGCCAGCUUCUUAUUUUGGAGCUACAUAAUAAUCAGCUGACUGGGCUAAAUAGGGGUGUAUUCACACACAUACCAAACCUAG